GCAAUGCCGCGUGCAGGAUGAAGGCCUUCGGGUUGUAAACUGCUUUUGUACGGAACGAAACGGUGAGCUCUAAUACAGUUUGCUAAUGACGGUACCGUAAGAAUAAGCACCGGCUAACUACGUGCCAGCAGCCGCGGUAAUACGUAGGGUGCGAGCGUUAAUCGGAAUUACUGGGCGUAAAGCGUGCGCAGGCGGUUAUAUAAGACAGAUGUGAAAUCCCCGGGCUCAACCUGGGACCUGCAUUUGUGACUGUAUAGCUAGAGUACGGUAGAGGGGGAUGGAAUUCCGCGUGUAGCAGUGAAAUGCGUAGAUAUGCGGAGGAACACCGAUGGCGAAGGCAAUCCCCUGGACCUGUACUGACGCUCAUGCACGAAAGCGUGGGGAGCAAACAGGAUUAGAUACCCUGGUAGUCCACGCCCUAAACGAUGUCAACUGGUUGUUGGGUCUUCACUGACUCAGUAACGAAGCUA
rnacentral:rRNA from 1 species